rnacentral:rRNA from 1 species
UACGAAGGGGGCUAGCGUUGCUCGGAAUUACUGGGCGUAAAGCGCACGUAGGCGGCUUCUUAAGUCGGAGGUGAAAUCCUGGAGCUCAACUCCAGAACUGCCUUCGAUACUGGGAAGCUCGAGUCCGGGAGAGGUGAGUGGAACUGCGAGUGUAGAGGUGAAAUUCGUAGAUAUUCGCAAGAACACCAGUGGCGAAGGCGGCUGACUGGACAUGUAUUGACGCUGAGGUGCGAAAGCGUGGGGAGCAAACAGG